rnacentral:rRNA from 1 species
UACGUAGGGCGCAAGCGUUGUCCGGAAUUAUUGGGCGUAAAGAGCUCGUAGGCGGUCUGUCGCGUCUGCUGUGAAAACUCGGGGCUUAACCCCGGGCCUGCAGUGGGUACGGGCAGACUAGAGUGCGGUAGGGGAGACUGGAAUUCCUGGUGUAGCGGUGGAAUGCGCAGAUAUCAGGAGGAACACCUAUAGCGAAGGCAGCUUGCUGGGACGUUACUGACGCUAAGGCGCGAAAGCGUGGGGAGCGAACAGG